UACACUUGGCGAGCGAUUUUUUAGUCAGAGAAGCGACCUACAGUACGCGCGCCUUUUCCUUCAAGGGUUCCUGCUGUUCUUUUGUACCUAUGAGGCGGUUGCUAACCAGUGCUUAGAUUAACAGGGGAGAAAGCUAUUGAUAAAACUCCCAAACCUCAGCUUCAGAUGCCCUCCCUAACUGACGUGCAACUUUCUAAGGAAAGAGUAACAAACGAACGAACGAACGAACGAACGAAGAACACAGAUCAUCUAUGCCCAUGGAUACAUCUGUGUCUGUGUGUGUGAGACACAGUUUUUCAUCUGUGUUGAUAUAGCAGCGGCCCAAGUUAUUUUGCGGCCCAAGGCACACAGGAAAAUGACCUUCAUACACAAUGCACUUGAAACCAGGACAUUUUUAAAGUCAUUUUGUACUUAUUAAACUGCUGCAACAUUCUUCCAUCUGAGAUGAGACAGUUCCUAUUUUUGUAAUUGAUCCUCUUGUAUUUAACUGUAUUAAUGAAGCUUACUGUCCAGCAUUUCACAGAUGAAGAUAGUUCAUGCUUAUAACAGUUCAGUUUAAAUUCCAAAGGUUAUGUUUGAACUUUUUCCACAACUCCACCUCUUGUAUAUACUAUUACAUAAUUCGGAAGAUUGUACUCCACCUGCUGCAUUGUAUACAUUACCUACACUUAUCUAAAGUCUGUUUGUUCUAUUAACAGUUUGGUUAGACUUGGAAAAUAAGGCAAGCUGAAGUCACAGUCUACCCAAGAAACUGUGACUCGGAGCCAGUCAUUAUUUCUAAAUUUAGCCAAGUUGUUGUGUGAAUAACAAUAGGGGGUUAGGGGGAGGGGGAGAGAAAGAAGAAUCAUAUACAUGGUCUUUAGAUCCUGAAAGGAGGGUCUAUCACAUUCAUAAAAAAAAAAUCCUAGCAUGAAAAAUGGCCUGCUGAAUGUUACAUGGUUUCUUUGUAGAAGUUGAUGUGCAGUACACAUACAUUGAUGUACACUAUGAACAAUCCAUUUCCAUUCUAUUUAAUAGCUUAAAUGUACAGAGAAUCAUAAGGACACACCUGAUAUUGAGUUCAGUCAGCUUUUUCAAUUACAAUGCUGGUAAUUUAAAGUUAAAAAAAUUGAAAAUGUCAAAUUAUCUUCUCCCUUAACCCAUUCAUUGUUAUGAUGAAUAUACCAAUAAAUACUCUCCCUCCCCAAA